CUAAUACUCCCUCCGUCCUAAAAUUCUUGUUUUAGAUUUGUCUAUAUACGGAUGUAUCUAACACUAAAACGUAGCUAGAUACAUUCGUAUUUGGACAAAUCUAAGACAAGAAUUUUGAGACGGAGGGAGUACUUA
rfam:Triticum aestivum genome assembly, contig: Triticum_aestivum_CS42_TGACv1_scaffold_031590_1BL